rnacentral:rRNA from 1 species
GACGAACGCUGGCGGCGUGCUUAACACAUGCAAGUCGAACGGAAAGGCCCUGCUUUUGUGGGGUGCUCGAGUGGCGAACGGGUGAGUAACACGUGAGUAACCUGCCCUUGACUUUGGGAUAACUUCAGGAAACUGGGGCUAAUACCGGAUAGGAGCUCCUGCGGCAUGGUGGGGGUUGGAAAGUUUCGGCGGUUGGGGAUGGACUCGCGGCUUAUCAGCUUGUUGGUGGGGUAGUGGCUUACCAAGGCGUUGACGGGUAGCCGGCCUGAGAGGGUGACCGGCCACAUUGGGACUGAGAUACGGCCCAGACUCCUACGGGAGGCAGCAGUGGGGAAUAUUGCACAAUGGGCGGAAGCCUGAUGCAGCAACGCCGCGUGCGGGAUGACGGCCUUCGGGUUGUACACCGCUUUCGCCUGUGACGAAGCGUGAGUGACGGUAAUGGGUAGAGAAGCACCGGCUAACUACGUG